UCCUGGGUUCAUGCCCCAGUGAAGCCACGGUCCGUGCCACCUUGAACAAGCCCAUGUGUGAUCUCGGAAGAUAAGCAGAGUCGAGCCUGGUUAGUACUUGGAUGGGAGACCACCUAGGAAGACCAGGUGCUGUAGGUA
rnacentral:rRNA from 1 species